rnacentral:lncRNA from 1 species
CUACUCCCUGUGUACAGUGCCCGCUUGUAUCUCAGACUGAGACCAUGCACUGGGUCACAUGUCUAAACAUAAGAUAAACCACACCUUCCUCCAAAAUGCACGAUGGGAGAUGAGCCUUAUUCUGCCAGAUAGUUUAAAUGUCAACUCGCUACAGCCUAAGAUUAUUUGGAAAGAACUUUAAUUCAGGAAUUGAGGAAUUGCCUAGAUCAUGCUAGAUUGUGGGCAUUUCUGGGGUUGGGGUGGGGUCUUUAUUGUUAACUGAUAUACCCAGUCCAUUAUGGGCGGCACCAUUCCCUGUGCUGGUAGCCCUAAAGUGUAUAAGUGAAAAGAGUUAGCUGAGCACAGGAAACCUAGCAGGCAGUAGAGAUGUGUCCAUUUCUCUACUCUUGACUAACUACCUGCUCUGAGUUCCUGCCUUAACUCCCCUCAACUGAAAGACUGUUCCCUGAGACUGUAAGCCAAAUAAGCUCUUUUCUCUUCUAGGCUGCUUUUGGUUUAUCGUAACAAUGUAAGUAAAACUAGACACACACCUUCCUCCAAAAUACCUGUUAGGUCCUAGAAAGAGCAGACUCUUCUCUCCAUCCACCAAGAAUGGGAGCAUCAAGAGAUUCAGUGGUUACAAGGAACUUCCUAAGCAUCUCUGCCAGAGGCCAGAAGAGCCCUGCAAUGCUGCGCGAAACUCAGAUCCAGGGAGCAAGAGACACAGAGGCCACCCCAUGGUACUUUGAAAAACUGAGGCAAAGUACACAUGGGACGUGGGCUUCCUUGUCUCAUCCUCUGUCCGCCCGCUGAGAACAAGGUUGUUUUGAAUGUUCUUAAGAGAUGGAUGUGUACCCACCUCCCCUCUGAGGGAAGAAGAAGCAGAACCUGGGACCGACCAGUAGCUGUGGCAGAAGAGGUCAGGCCUGCCAGUCAAGGACAGACGGUGUCCCAGGCAGAGGUUGUGAAGCCUGAGUAGGACCUAGGAGCCUCCUGCCCGAGCCCUAGGCCAGAGAGAACAGUGAGUAGAGGCCACAGUGGCUCCCGUGUCCUCCCAGACACUUUCCCGAUAAGCCAGAAAUUGCACAAACUUAGCCGUCUCAGAAUCUGAGGGCAGACACUUGCAGCAUCGCGGCAAACAUCGGGAACAGCAGUGUGCAUAGCUGCAUCAGAUCUGAGAACAUUUUACUCUCAGAGAGUCACACCGCGCAGGAUCUAAUGAUUCCAGCUGAGGCAGCACACGGAGGUGUCAGCAGCACAGUGACGUUGAGAGGCAGGGAAAGCUGAUCGUUAAAAAUAGGUGAAGCUGAGCCAAAAAACUUGAAAAAAGAAACAAAACAUUAUAGUUCAUACUGGAGAGAAACCUACUAGUGGAUCUGAAGUUGGGGUUUUAGAAGCGUGUGUGAUGCUGAUAACGAUGAGUUGUCCCACUGAGAGCUCUCUAAACUCCACGAAAAUGUGUUCGGUGGCCUACUGUGGCCUACAGGCAGAACCAUGUUUUCAUGAGUAGUUUUACUGGGAGCCACCACUCUCCUCUGUUUGCCUCUAUCUGUAGCAGCCUUCCCUCCAUGGCAUUGGUUGCGUGGCCCUUUCCAGACGUGCUCCCUGACUCAUUUACCAAAUAAAAUUUGAAUUAUCCUAUAAAUACUUGUACAGAAAAUUUGACCGAUGGAAUUAGAGAUGACUCUGUUGGUAAAGUGCUCAUGGUGCAAGCAUGAGGACCAGAGUUCGAAUCCCUACACCUACGUAAAAGCCAGGUGAAUUGAUACUUACUUCUGUGGUCCCAGUCCUGGGGAAGGAGACAGUCGGGUCUUGGAGUUUACUAGCCAGCUAGCCUAGCCAACAAAUCAGUUCCAAGUUCAGUGAGAACCCCUACUAAAGAGGAAAGCAAUGGAGAAAGGUGCCUGACUCAGCCUCAGCCCCAGACUUUGAGGCAGGUGGGAGAAAGCUCGGUGUUGACUUGACCAUCAGUGGCCUGUGAGUUAAUCGAUCAUGCCUUUGCAGUAAAGCUUCCAUGAAAACACAGGAUGGGGUUCAUAGAGCAUCCUGAGGGCAGAGCAUAUGAGAAGGACUGGAUGGUGUGGGCUGGGAGAGGGUCCUCCUUUUCUCCACACCUCACCAUAUGCCCGUCUUCAUCUGCAUCUUCUGACAGUGAGCUUGAGAAAGUGUUUUCCCAAGCUCUGUGAAUACAUCUUGCAAACUACUGAAACCUGAGGGGUUUGUGGAACUCCACAGAGAUCUGCUGCACUGAUGAGACCGCCUGGGGCUUUCAAUGGGCAUCUUAAACGGUAGGCCGGAUAGUUUUAUGUCUACUCCACACAGCUAAAGCCAUCUGAGAGGAGAGAACCUCAGUUAAGAAAAUACUUCCGGAAGAUCAGGCUGUAGGCAAGCCUGAAGGACAUUUUUUUAGUGAUUGAUGGCCAGCCUAUGGCCUGGGCUGGUGGUCCUGGGUUCAAUAAGAAAGCAGGCUGAGUAAGUCCUAAGGAGCAAGCUAGUUAGGAGCAUCCCUCCAUGGCCUCUGCAUCAGCUCCUGCCUGUAGGCUUCUGUCCUGUUCCUGAUCUGGCUUCCUUUGGUGAUAGAGUAUAAUGUGGAAAUGUAAACCAAAUAAAAAUCUUUUCCUCCUCAACUUGCUGGUUUUUCAUGGCAUAACCCUAACUAAAACACGAGGUGGUAGACAGUUGGAGACACCCCUCAACCUACGGGAUCUGACCAUUUAUCUAGGUAGUAUCAUAAGUCAAUCAAGUUAAAG